AGGCUCGCAGAGCUGUUCAAGUGAGCGAGGGAACAGAAAUUGCAAUUAUCGUCAUUACCGCGCUGUAAUUGAAGUGUCAUGACAGAUUCAUGAGUUCAUCAAUAAAACAUCAGGAAAGCUGGCCAGUUUGCUGAGGAACCGGAGAGUGCCGGAGACUGACACAUCCCAAUGGAGGAGAGUCUGGAAGUGGAAGUUAGGCAAGGAGAGGAGCCAGCAAUCACCCAGCAGAGUCUCACAGCUGAAAGAAGAGCCGUGGAACACCUGCGGAGAGCCCUGGCUAGUGAGAGGAGACGCUGGUGAUACUGUCAUGGGUGGUGUCUGUGAUUGCUGUUUUAAAAUAAACUGUCCAGCAUU